CAAUCUCAAUUCAUAUGGGACUACCCCCUUAAUUUAAGCAUAUUAAUUAGGGGAGGAAAAUAAACUAACAAGGAUUUUCUUAGUAGCGGCGAGCGAAAAGAAAAUAGUUCACUAGGUCACUUUGUCUUUAUGGCAAAUGUGAGAUGCAGUGUAUGGAGCUUCAAUAUUCUAGUAUGAGAAAUUAACGAUUUAAGCCCUUCUUAGAUGAUGCCAUUUACCAAUAGAGGGUGCCAGGCCAGUAUAACGUUAAUGAUUACUAGAUGGUGUUUUUAAAGAGUCGUGUGCU
rnacentral:ncRNA from 1 species